UGCAGCUGUCUAUAAGGACAUUAGUGAUAUCUGCAGCUGUCUAUAAGGACAUUAGUGAUAUCUGCAGCUGUCUAUAAGGACAUUAGCGAUAUCUGCAGCGUCUAUAAGGACAUUAGCGAUAUCUGCAGCUGUCUAUAAGGACAUUAGCGAUAUCUGCAGCUGUCUAUAAGGACAUUGGUGAUAUCUGCAGCUGUCUAUAAGGACAUUAGCGAUAUCUGCAGCUGUCUAUAAGGACAUUAGUGAUAUCUGCAGCUGUCUAUAAGGACAUUAGCGAUAUCUGCAGCUGUCUAUAAGGACGUGGGAUUUUGUUCUGUUACAAAAAGAAAUGAGCGACAGUUUAACGUCAGUCUACUCCGACUGACCGUUGAACUCCUCUUCAGAAGACCCUCGUUCUCGUUAUUCUAAACCUUUCACUGUUCUCUCUCUACCCAGUCAGUGCCCUGCCUAGCUUAAUAAACCAGACCACUUCUUGGUAUACAGUCUGAAUCAAAGCACUGCAAAAAAAACUUGGAAAUGUUUCCUUUACAAGCCAGAAUGUUGAAUAAAAUGAACAUUUGAACUUCCUUUA